GGUUAUUGUAGUUUAUUUAAAAACACUACCUUUUCAAGGUAGAAACUCCUUAGGAUUAUAAUUGCUUAAGGAAUAAUGU
rnacentral:tRNA from 1 species